UUUUUUUUUUUUUUUUUUUUUUUUAAUCCUUCAGAAUGCAGCACCUAUAGACAGAUGUAUGAAGUGUCAAUUUUACAUUCUGGGAUCUAUUUUUGAGGAGUUGGAUUCUUUUUUUUUUUUUUUUUUUUUUUAAUCCUUCAGAAUGCACCACCUUAUAGACAGAUGUAUGAAUUGUCAAUUUUACAUUCUGGGAUGUUCUUUGGUCUACUGGUGGUUUGUUCUAUUCCUAAAUAGGAAAAACGUUUAUAAAAUUAAAUAAAAGAUUAAGCACAAUUUAAAUUAAAGAAGGCCAGUGAUAACAGUUUGUCAUGCAACAACAGCUAUUGUUCUCACUAAAUUCCAUUACAGAAUUACACAGUCUGUUAUCUCUUUAGUAAUGAGCAACUAACUGCACAUGCAUUACUAUUAUUCAGUUCUGUUGCACUGAGUGUGUGCAAUUUUAUCAUUACAGUGAAUAAAUGAAUAAGUUAAUAACAAUCAGUAGCUUGAAGGGACAAAGCAUGGGCCAGUGACGAACGUGUCUUGGAAGAAUUAUUGAUUUAACCGGUUCCACUCCCAUGAUGCUCCUCUUAAGACAAAAAUCCUGGCUCUGGCAAGUUUGGUUAAGAACACAGACAGACACAAUCACAUUUCUGUCCUGGGUUUCUGAGGCUUUAACUCUUGUGCCCUUUCUUUAAAAAGAAUGAAUAGCGUCUGCAUUAAUUUGUGAGUUAAUAAAUAAAUGAAUAAAGUAGGAUCGAGUUCAUUGUUCACUGGUGUGACAUUUCCUUGAAAAGAGACGACUCUAACUCUGCACAAGGGAGGCUCAGAGAGGCAGGCGGUUAUCUGUAUGGGUGAAGCAUUGGGAUGGAAGCCUCACAGACAGCUCUGGCUCUUGAUGCAGAUGGUGGAUUCAAACGUAUCUGGGUUUGUUUUUUUAAUCUUUUUUUUUUAAUUAAAGUAUAGUUGAUUUACAAUGUUGUGCCCAUUUCUGCUGCACAGCAAAGCAACCCAGUCAUACAUAUACACACAUUCCCUCUUCUCAUAUUAUCUUCCAUCAUGGUCUGUCCCAAGAGACCAGCUGAAGUUCCCUGUGCUGUACAGCAGGACCUCAUGGCUUAUCCGUUCUAAAUCUAAUCGUUUGCACCUACCAACCCCAAAUCCCAGCCCAUCCCACUCCCUCCACUGCCCCCUUGGCAACCACGAGUCUGGUCUCUUUGUCUGUGGGUCUGUUUCCAUUUUGCAUAUAUGUUCAUUUGUCUCUACACAAAUGCCAUGUUUUCGAUUCCACAUAUAUGUGAUAUUAGGUAACAUUGUAAAAUUCGUCCUUGAGAUAAUUAGAUCAAAGGAGAUGUGACUUUUCUGCCAGUUGAAGCAAGGGACAUGGCCCAAAGUGUAAGAUUAAUCUAAACCCGCUCUCCCUGCCUCCAUUAGCAUAUCGGGGCACAUUGGAAAUCUAGGAUGUUUCAUUCUUUUUAGCAUUUGCUUUCUUCUCCCCAGAGUGGCUCCUCGCGGGUAAACUGGGUGGUCAGGGAGUCUCUGGGUAAGAAGCUUACAGGCCUGUAAGGGUGGCACGCAACGUUCGCAUCCUUGGGUGGGUAGUUUCCCCAUGGGUGUUCAUUGUGUUACCAAAAAAUGGAUAAUUGGCUACAUCCGAACACAAAAUUUAAAAAGACCAGAAACAGGAAUGUGUUACAUACCAAGGAUGAGGAUGUGAUCAGUCAGGGCGACUGUCGAACUGUCUGUAUUUGAAUGUCAUCCUAAUGAACUCUGAGGUUCAUUACCAAGUACAUCAGAGAUGUUGCCUCUUUAUGGCAAAGGCCAUUUAGACGGAGAAUAGUCAUCGUCAGUGUUCUUGCUCUGGAUCAGUGAUGAGUUCUAGUUUGUUUAUUUAAUUAAGAGAAAAAACUAAUGAAAUGAAUGAAUUAAUACCUAAAUAGCAAGUCAAUCUAGGCGGAGAACCAUGAAGCAGCGGAGAGAAUUUUGCAGUUUUCUUCUUUUGGCCAAGGGAUAUGCUUCUUUUAUUUAACACGAAAAUCUGUAUACCUUGUCUUAUUUUAAAAAUUUAAAGUUAUAAAAGAAUGUAUAUUCAUUUCCCCUCCCCCCCUUUUUCGGUGCUGUUUGCUUUGUACUUCGCAGAACGGACAGGCGCUGAUAAUCAUGCCGCAAUGAUCAAGACCCACAUGGUUCAAGGAUGUGUGCCCCACAGCUGAUUAAAUUAUUCCCCAGUCAUGGAGAGCCGCCACCUUGUUCCUCGGAGAAAGGGCCAUGUCAUGUCAUGUGAGUAAUAAAGUUCUUGGUUUGGGUGGGGAGCGCCCGGGCUUCUAUGGAAUCAUUAAAAAAGAGGAAAUGUACUUAAACGUGUCCAUGUCAUGCAUAGAGCAUGCGCGGAUGAGCAUGUGCUGGGAACCAGCAUUUAUGAUGAAUGCAAUUUAGCACAGACGAGGCCCCCGAUGACCCCGUAGCUUUCCUUUGUUUCAAAACGGAAGCAUCUCAUUUUAUGUUUGUCGCAUUGGUUAUUUAAACAUCCUCCUCUUGAUAAAAACCCAGGCAGCUGCUCAUUUAGGGAGUCGGUACUCGGUUGUGGAGUAAGAUGGCAGGUUCACGGCUGUUCUUUGUAACGUCUGAAACUUGUUCGAAUUAAAUGCGGAAGGGGCACGCCUGGACCAAUGAUGUAAAGGGAAUGCAUCUGAAUAAAAAUUAUGAUCAGUCAUGUUUGAACCACUGAGGUCCACGGCGAAAAGAGAGCUGGUGUAUAACUUGCGGGGGGGUGACCUCAGGGAAGUGAGACUCUAGUUGAGAGGGUUCAUGGACAUUGGUUUUAUAUUACUACUGGAUAAAUGAAUGGGUCAAUAAACAGAUACGUGUGAAAGAAAAGAAAGAGGUCAGAACACAGACCAAUUUUGAAGCUGUGAAAGAAAACAAGGAAUAUUACUUCAGUUCUGUAACACCUUGGUCCAUUAAGAAAACAUAUACCUGAAGUGUUACCACUUUAUGUUAGAAGCAGCUAAAAAGAGGUGUUUAAUAGUCAAUGCUUUGCUCUUAGUUUGAAGUAGAUUACUAGCUGUUUGACUCAGGAAGAAAUGAGGAUUAAACAAAUGGUUAACUAAGUGGAUGGGUGCAAAAUAUGAACCAUUGAUGGAUGUAUUGUAUUCUUUUUGACAUCUGCUUUGUGCCCCAGAAUGGCUGCACCUUGUUUGUUUCCGUCCUUAUUUAAUGAUGAAGAUCUUGGCUCUUACCUUUGUGGCCAAGGAGAGCAGAGAGAUUGGGGUAAGUAACAGAUGAAAUAUUUAUUCGUGGUUUCAUCAUUUUGUUUAUGGAUGGCCUAUAAUUCUUAAAAAGAAGAGAUGUCUUCAUGCAAUCAUAAAACAAAUCAAAGCAGCACAGGCAGAGACCAAUGAUAAAAACUGGCCUGAAAAGGAUCAUGGCUCAAUCAUUUUGCAAAACCGAAAAAACAGGUUUCCAUUAGAAAGGUUGAUUGCCCCCUCUUAGAGUAAGAGGAUUAUAGGCACUUCUAGGCUUGGUCAAGGAUCUUGUUCUUGGGUUGGUUGUGUUUUCCUUGGGUUAUAAAUAAUCAACCACAAAAUAAGCUGGUAAAAAAAAGAAACAUAAAAAUUAAAGAUAAAGAGCCAGUAAAAUCACAGCGGCCACUCAUGACCAAUGAUGUAAUUAUUCAUAAAACAAGAAUUUGUUUAAUUCAGUUUAACAGUUUGCCACUCUACUUAAGAAGUACAUAGACUUUGGGAGUUCCUGUCGUGGCACAGUGGUUCACGAAUCCGACUAGGAACCAUGAGGUUGCGGGUUCGAUCCCUGACCUUGCUCAGUGGGUUAAGGAUCCGGCAUUGCCGUGAGCCGUGGUGUAGCUCACAGACACGGCUCAGAUCCUGCAUUGCUGUGGCUGUGGUGUAGGCUGGUGGCUACAGCUCCGAUCCGACCCCUAGCCUGGGAACCUCCAUAUGCCAUGAGAGCAGCCCAAGAAAUGGCAAAAAGACACACAAAAAAGAAGUACACAGACUUAACAGUCAAAAAUUCCUCCCUUGUUUGGAAGUAGAGUCUUUACUUUUGACUUUAUUUUUGAAAAUGAGUACCUGACUAAAUUAACAACAAGGGAAAAUUUACAUAUAAAGAAAAUUAAAAUAACCCAAGUGUCCCAGUGAUACAAGUGUACGAAACAAGAAUUAUCAUCAACCCAAUUUUGCCUGUUCGAGAUCCACUUAACCUAAGAGAUUUAAUGUUACAUUGGACAUAGAUAAAUAUGUGUGUCUGUAUCUUUGUAUCUACGUGUGUGUGUGUGUGUGUGUGUGUGUGAGUGUGUAGAGGACGUGGUUUAUCAUGAGGACAUAGAUGGUAAAAUGUCUAUAGAUUUUGUUCUUGCAUUUUAGUGGGUUCAGGAGUGUUACUGUGUUCAUCAUUAUUACUGUUUAUUAUUGUAAAUCAGUCCGUGAAAAAUUAAAUGAGAAGAAGUCAAAUCAUGGGCCAGUGAAACAAGGAUUGUGAUUAUUACAGUUCUGCCCCACUGACACUCAUGAACUGAAACAUUUUUAAAAUAUUUGUUUUAAUAGUAUCUGAUAUAUAGUACUACAUGUUGUACUGACAUAAUUUGGAUAGUUUUGCAUGCUUCUCACCUAGGUUGUUUUUUUUUCCCCUCCAUCAGGCACAGAUACUAGUGACCUGAUUGGAGGUAAUGACAGGAGGCCCCCCUACCCCCUAUUUUAUGUUUUUCUGGCACUUUGUACCUGGGAGAGUGCUCCAGUAACUGAUGCUAAGUAUUCAUUUCAGCUCAGCAAGGACUGCUUCAAGUCUGUGUCAGGCUCUGGGCUGGUCAUGGCGUUCAUAUCUCAAUCUGAUCUCAUUCCCGCAUUCAAGUGGCUCCUUAGGCUUAGGUGGAGACCUACGUAUAAAGGUAGUAAUUCAGUAUCAUAAGGCCGGUAGGUGGGCUUUCCAGAAGCACAAACGGCAGGACCCCAGUUCAGUUUUACGUGUCAAAUGCUUUAUAAAAGUGAAGAUGCCUGAGCCACUAAGCAACUCCGUUGGCUGAAAGGUCCGUGAAGUUAGACAUCAUACCCCAUCCAGGGCUCUGCCCAGUGCAGUUAGCACACAGAGCCCACCUAAGCCGUUUGUUAAAUGACCCAUUGACUCAAUGAUGAAAGACAGAGAGAAUGAAUGAAUGAAGCGACGAGUUAGUCAAUGAAUGAGUCUUGGAGUAAGCAAAGGAAAGAAAAAAAGUGAAAAUGGGAAGGAGUGCCCAGGUGAGUGAACCCACGGAUGAGGCAUGAGUCAUGGAAGCAGUAAUGCACAGGUAUGAUGCAUAUACAUCUGGAUGAGCCAAGGGUGUAAGAGACGGCAAGAGGUGGGCGUGAGUGAUGGACGAGGAAGUCGAGGAAGGAAGGAAUGAAAGACCCGGGGGUCAGGGCUCCAUAAGUGAAAGAUGAGUGCUCAACGGAUGCGUGAAUUGAUGCGUGGAUUCCUGAACAAGUCUGUGAAUGGAUGGAUUAGCGAAAGUGAAUUAGUAACGAGGAGAUGAAUGAGCCAGGGAGUCAGUGAGGAACAAAGCGAAUGAAUGAUUAAGAGGUCAACAAAUAAGUGAGUGACUAAAUCGGACAAUGAAACGAGGACGGCGUUGAACAGUUUAACAAAGGGGUAAAUACAUCAGUCAGUGCAAGAGGCACCUUGAUGCGGGAAUGAAUAGGCAGAUGGAUGGAGCAGGGGGCAUCUUAGUGUCAUCGGAUCAGAGAAUCAUCAGCGAGCAGGUGAAGGAGGCAGUGAAGGAGUAUAUGUCACCCAGGGGAAAAUCCAUGCUCUGUGAAUGAGCGGGUGGGAAAGUGUCCGAAUCAGCAGACGACGAGUGAGUGAGUUGGUCACCCACGGGCGAGGCAGGGAGCAGAUGAGGUCACACUGGGCAUCCUUCCCUGACCACGCCGGACAGAGGGAGCCACGCCGCAGCCUCACAGCACCUUAGAAACACUGCCCAGGGCACCCGUUCUACUCUGUCCUGGGCAUUUGUUUCUAUGUCAUCACUGAACUGACCGGUCCCAAGAGCCAGGAAUGGGGUCAGCGUCUUCUCUGUCUCCCCAGGGCCUGCCCAGCCCAGGCCCAGGAGGCACCCAGUAAAUGAUGGCUGAAUAGGGAGUUCUUGUUGUGGCUCAGCAGUAAUGAACCCAACUAGUAUCCAUGAGGACAUGGGUUCGAUCCCUGGCCUUACUCAGUGGGUUAAAGAUCUUGCGUUAGCGUGAGCUGUGGUGUAGGUGGCAGACAUGGCUCAGAUCUGGCGUUGCUGUGGCUGUGGUAAAGGCCGGCAGCUGCAUCUCAGAUUUGGCUCUUAGCCUGGGAACCUCCAUAAGCUGCAGGUGCGGUCCUGAAAAAAAAAAAGAAAAAAAGACAAAAUAAAGGACCAAAAAAAAAAAAAAAAAAAA
rnacentral:lncRNA from 1 species